GCAAGUCGAGCGGUAACAGGAAGAAGCUUGCUUCUUUGCUGACGAGCGGCGGACGGGUGAGUAAUACUUGGGAACUUGCCUUUAGGAGGGGGAUAACCGCUGGAAACGGUGGCUAAUACCGCAUAAUGUCUACGGACCAAAGCAGGGGCUCUUCGGACCUUGCACCUAAAGAUAGGCCCAAGCGAGAUUAGCUAGUUGGUGGGGUAAAGGCCCACCAAGGCGACGAUCUCUAGCUGUUCUGAGAGGAUGAUCAGCCACACUGGGACUGAGACACGGCCCAGACUCCUACGGGAGGCAGCAGUGGGGAAUAUUGCACAAUGGGGGAAACCCUGAUGCAGCCAUGCCGCGUGUGUGAAGAAGGCCUUCGGGUUGUAAAGCACUUUCAGUGGUGAGGAAGA
rnacentral:rRNA from 1 species